UGGGGAAUAUUGGACAAUGGGCGCAAGCCUGAUCCAGCCAUGCCGCGUGAGUGAUGAAGGCCUUAGGGUUGUAAAGCUCUUUCGUUGGGGAAGAUAAUGACGGUACCCAAAGAAGAAGCCCCGGCUAACUUCGUGCCAGCAGCCGCGGUAAUACGAAGGGGGCUAGCGUUGUUCGGAAUUACUGGGCGUAAAGCGCACGUAGGCGGACUGUUUAGUUGGGGGUGAAAUCCCAGGGCUCAACCCUGGAAUUGCCUCCAAUACUGGCAGUCUCGAGGCCGAGAGAGGUGAGUGGAACUCCGAGUGUAGAGGUGAAAUUCGUAGAUAUUCGGAAGAACACCAGUGGCGAAGGCGGCUCACUGGCUCGGUACUGACGCUGAGGUGCGAAAGCGUGGGGAGCAAACAGG
rnacentral:rRNA from 1 species